rnacentral:rRNA from 1 species
AAGGAUCAUUAUUGAAUUGUUAAAAAUGGGGCAAGACGCUUUCGAGCUCUUCCUCUACAUUCUUUAUUCCUUAACACCUGUGAAUCGUUGCUGAGUUCGCUCAGUGGCACCUUUUUUACACACACACUUUAUAGUUUAGAACGUAAAAACAUAAAAUAAAAACACAACUUUUGACAACGGAUCUCUUGGUUCUCCCAUCGAUGAAGAACGCAGCGAAAUGCGAUAAGUAAUGUGAAUUGCAGAAUUCAGUGAAUCAUCGAAUCUUUGAACGCACCUUGCGCUCCUUGGUAUUCCUUGGAGCAUGCCUGUUUGAGAGUCUUGAAUAUCUCUGCUUUCAUUUUUUUGUUUACGAAAAGAUGACAAGUCAGGUCCUUGGGUCUGCUUGCGGUUUGUUACGAACACAAGCUUACCUUAAAUGAAUUAGCUGGACUUCAGCAGAGUUGUUAAGUAACAUUGAAAACUCUCGUAAUAUGAAGUCUGCUCUCUAAUGAUUCUUUUUCCUUUCGAGGAAUUCGAAUACUUUCUAUUUUGGCCUCAAAUCAGGUAGGACUACCCGCUGAACUUAA